ACCAAGCAGCUCGUGUAAAUCUACCUAAACCAGUUCGCCAGGGCCUUACAUUAUAUACCAGCCACCGUCCGGCUCCGUAUACUGUCCGUAGCACGUCUAUGCAGCACAGCUCAGUUUUGUCGUCAGACAGUAUGCCUAGAAUAUUGUCUGUAACUUUAUAUUACAUUCUUUUUUAGUUUCAAGGCUUCGAGCUCAGCUCGAUCUUAUUAUUGUCAGAUCAGAGUGAGGACAAAUUGAAUUACAAUGGACAAUCAAGCAAUGAAGAAUCUUGGCUUUAAAAUAGGAGUAUCAUCUGCAAAAAUCUUGAGGAGAGCCCAGGAAUUGAACAGACUAAUCCAGUUACGCUGCAGUUCCUUGGCAUUGAAUGACUCUUGCCGUGCAGUCAUGUGUUUUGAAUUGGCGGCUACAGAACACAAACAUCCCAUCAACAAGGAGUCGGCUGUGCAACUCUCGGGUGUGAAUAAGAAAGUGUAUGCAAAUUCCUUCAAGACGUUACAGACAUUACUGGGCCUGAACCCAACUGUGACCAUCAGAGACCUUGCUGUCCAGUUUGGAUGUGUAGGAGUAAUUGAACAUGCAAACCAAGUCCUCCAGAGCUAUCACAAAGAGUUUGAGGACAAGGUUUCUGAAGCUGCUAGAGAUGAUGUUGAUUUCAGCAAACCUCUCUUUACUGGUGCUGCACUAUACACCAUAUGCAAACGUCAAAAGAUUAAAGUGGACAAGACGAAGCUUGUAGAGAUGACUGGUGCAAGAAGAGGCACAUUUGACAAGCUGUGUGCUGAGAUGGAGAAACAUGCCACCCAGCUGUUUGGUGAAAAGAAGUCUAAACAAUCUAAAAGACAUCAUUCAUGGAUGGAUGACUUAGAGAAAUCUUUUGAAGAUGGUGCGAGUCUACCGAAGCAAUCUAAGGGUGAUCAGGAUAGCAGCAGUUCAAAGCAGGACGAUUAUGAGGAAUGGAAGAGGAGAAUUCUUGAGGGAGUACCUGACACCAACAAGUGAAAUGCUUCUUACUGUGAAAUAAACUGAUCCAAGGGUCUCUGGCAUAUUGCUCAGGGGACCAUGGCUGUCGUACGCUAGGGACGAACGAUAUUCUUUGGACUUGUGCUGCCACACCCCGAUCAUCAUCCUAAUGUUACCUUACAUGUAAUCUCCAUCUGCAAUACAAACCCACUUCUGAUUUGCAGAUUUGUGAUAAAUAACAUGUGUGACUAGUUGAGUUUCAGCGUCCUGUGCUGACGUUUUUCAACAAGUACAGCACGGCAAAACACUAGCCGCCAAUUAAAAUGAUGAAGAAACAUCAUGAGUAGAGUCGUAACAAAUUCCAUCUGUGAUUAAACAACUCUCGCAACAUUUGUCAUGCCUUUCACCCAGUGUUGUUGGUUGUAGGAGGUAUUCUGUUUGGGGGUAAUCUGCCCCAUCUGUCCCAUUGUCAUUCUUGCAACAAUGAAGGAAACCGUUCAUUAGAUCAUGUGGAUCGUAAUCUUGCAGUAACUGAAGAACAGCUUUAUGGAUCAUGAUUGCUCAUGUGACUCAUGUAUGUAUAUGGGAGCAAUGAUGAUCUGAUAAGAUUUUGAAUUCAUAAUGUCAAAAGUUAUAGAGGUCAUUAUACUUGUUCUCACUAUAAAUGGAGUUAUUUGAGGGUUCGUCAAUUUUGGUUCAUGUGUAUGAAUAUUCUAGGGACAAUGAUCCAAGUACAUUUUGGGUCAUGAGGUCAAAGGUCACAAUAGAUGUCUGUACCUGAAAAUAUCACUGUCUUGCGAUAAUUCAAAGAAUCAUUUGAGUGAACAAAUCAAACUUGGCUGAUGUGACUAUGAUCUCAGUAGAUUUGGGGUCAAUGGUCACAAGGGGUCAUUUUAAAAUUUCAGAAGUUAGGUGUGAAAAAUAUUCUUGUUCCAGCUAUGGAGGAGGCGUAAACCUUAACUGUGUGUAUUUGGGAAACAUCUAGUUUUUAGAUAGUCAUAUUGUCUAUAGUGGAACUAUAAGUUUAACUAGUACAAACAGAGGUGUCAUAACAUUUCAUUUAGCUACAGUAAUAGUCAAUGAGGUAGAACUAAGUUAUUUUCUUAAAACAAUUAUUAUUUAUUCAUUUAUUUAUUUCGUUUUAUUUAUACACGGUAGCCCCAUCAGUAGUCUAGUACUGUUUUCCAGGGGGCCCUGCAAACAAAUAUAUACAAUAUAACAGACAAGCAAAUUACAUAAGGAAAUAACAAACAGAACAUGCAAAAUAAUCAAGUGAAUACAUGGAAAAAGAUGAUGGUACAUGAGUACAUUGUAAGGAAGUAACGUUUAUUCAUCUAGAUUUCAAUCAGCAUUACAAUACAGGAAAACAACCCCCCCUCCCCCUACAUUUCAAUUAUUUAAAUCAGGUAAAUCAAUGUAAUUGCUACUCUAUGUGAAUAGUACAUACGAAAAUUUACUUGUGGAAGCGAAAAUAAGCAAGUUUAGUGGGUUCUUUGAAAUUAACAGAGAAACUCAUAAUUAUUUUUAUGUCAUAUGUGACCCAUGUGUUGCAUGUAAUUAAGAUAAUACAUAUAUUACACUAUUAAAAAAGCGUAUAUCUCUGCUUCACAUACUGAUUUCUGCAUGUUGCAGAGAGUGAGGGGCUAUUUCCUGGAAGAGCACCCCUUCAAGUACUGGGAACAAAAAAGCAUUCUUACUACUAGCACUUCUCACUGAUGGGGGUAGGCUAUUCCAAAGUAAAGCAUCAUCGAUUGAUAGUACAUGUUUACCACAUUAUGCUUCAAAGAACUGAAAAUUGUGUGGGUUUCAUGUUCUAGUUUAAUGAUAAAAUGAUAUAGCUUAUUGUGGUUAUUCAAGAAUUAAAAAAAUAUAUAUAAAAAACAAAACAUGUAUUUGCUAUAUUUUUUUCAGACAUACUAGAUAAAUGUAAGUGCAGAAUCUCUUCUUCAAUUUGAGUCGAAAAUACUUUAAGAAAAUUGUCUAUGCAUUGUCACAACUGAGGCCUGUCAGGAACAAUUUGCACAGAAAAUCUGAACUAAAAGUAACCAUGGUUUUAGUUUACCUUGGGUUAACUCAGAACACACUUUUAUGGAGUAUUUUAAAACUGUCAACUUAUUCACUGGGUAGAAAUUAUUCUAAUCCUGUGUCAAGAAGUUUAAAAAAAUAAGUUGUGUCAUGAAAUGAGAAGAAUAGAAAAAUAAAAUGAAUUUUUGAAUUCAUUAGUUGUUACUAUCUUUGCCAUGAAGAAACAUGAUAAAACCCAGCAAUAGUAUCCAUAGAAGUGUGGUUCAAUAUUCAAGUCCAGACUAGGGUUCAAACUAGGUUUAAAAAUUAGAAAAUCCCACCCAGUCUUUAAAUAGUCAGGCGUUAGAAUAAAACAAACAUACCAAAGAACACACAGGAAAUGUUAUUGAGCCAUCCUUUAUUACAAUUGUCCAUUGUACCUUAAUUGAAUUAAUUCUAUGCAAUUUCAAACUCUUCUGGCUUAUGUAGACAUGGCACUUUAAUAUAUGUAUCAUGUUUGGUAACAAAAUAAAGAAUAAAAGCUACACUACUAUGUAAUUCUGAAAAUAAGAUAUUCAAAAUCAUUUGUCUGGGCUGGGAAAAAUGUCUGGAAAUCCUGAUUUUUGUCACGCCUGCAGCAAACUUUGGCCAUGUUGGGGGUAUUUGUGGAAUUGUCAUCAGAACUUCGAAAUUUUAAGGAUCUAAGGCAUGAAACUUGGACUUACGAGCAAUGAAGUAUCCUUGAAUAUCCUGUAUGAAUUUCAGGUCACAUGACAAUGGUCAAAGGUCAUAUAGUGCCGACAAACAAUAUGUUGGGAGUAUUUUUUUGAAUUACUAUCAUAACUUUGAAAGUUUGUGGAUCUAUUUCAUGAAACUUAGACAUAAGAGUUAUCAAGUAUUAUUGAACAGCCUGCGGGAGAUUCAGGUCACAUGACCAAUGUCAAAGGUCAUUCAAGGUCAAUAAAAUUUUGCCAUAUCAUGGGGAAUUGCCAUCAUGACUUGAAAGUUUUAUAUGGAUCUACUUAUGAAAUUUGGACUUAUUAUAAAGAGCAAUCAAGUAAUGUUGUUAUGUACAAGUCUUACGUCACAUUA
rnacentral:misc_RNA from 1 species